GUUGGAGCAGAUCCAGAAGCAUACGUGGUAUCUAGCUGGAAAGAACGAGCCAGAACCCGAGCAGCCCGUCCCCAGGAAGGUGGCCAUCAGAACACUUGCUUCGGUCGAAGAGAUCGACCCCGACGUCCUGGAGAGCAUGCACUCCCUGGGCUGCUUCAGAGACAAGGACAAACUGACCAAAGAUCUGCUGUCUGAGGAGGACAACCAGGAAAAGAUGAUCUACUUCUUGCUACUGGACCGGAAGGAGAGGUAUCCCAGCCACGAGGACCAGAACCUGCCACCACGCAACGAGAUCG